CCAGCCGAUGCCGAUUAUCAAACCAGCCGAUUAUCAGUCUGUCCCUACAGAGCACCCAAAGGGAUUAUCGGCCAAUGCUGAUUGUCGUCCAACUGAUUAUCGGCCUAUCCCUACAGAGCACCCAGAGGGAUUAUCGGCCGAUGCCGAUUAUCGACCCAGCCAAUUAUUGGUCUACACCUACAGAGCACCCAGAGGGAUUAUCGGCCAAUGCAGAUUAUCAAACCAGCCGAUUAUCAGUCUGUCCCUACAAAGCACCCAGAGGGAUUAUCGGCCAAUGCAGAUUAUCAAACCAGCCGAUUAUCAGUCUGUCCCUACAGAGCACCCAGAGGGAUUAUCGGCAGAUGCCGAUUAUCGACCCAGCCGAUUAUCGGUCUAUCCCUACAGAGCACCCAAAGUGAUUAUCGGCCAAUG